AGAGCGGAAUGCCACAGAGGUUCCACCUUCUUUCUCGUGUUGGCAGCGUUGAUUGUGAGCGGGAGAUCCGACCCUGAUCAGACAGCUGAGCCAGAAACCACUAAGAUCAGUUGGAACUGUUGCACUUUCUGGCAGUUGAUUGGCAGUUGUUUUCAGUUCAACUGAAGUGCCCUCCGUGUCUGGAAUGAGAGUCCCUGUCUAGUUGUUUUGAACGUGCCGCACUGAGAUCGGUGAGCAUAUUUUGUACCUUUCAUUUGGUUUUUGUUCUUUUAUCUUGUUGUCAAAUAAUGAUCUUUAUUUGACCUACUUAGUUAUUAAAACAUGAACCUUUGCUGAGUUUGUGUAAAAUGUAAUGUUUUAUUAUUGUUCUUGGAAAAGGAUUUUUCAAACAGUUAUGAAACAUAAUAAGCUAGAAUGGUUU